GACGGAGGGGGGCUAGCGUUGUUCGGAAUUACUGGGCGUAAAGAGCGCGUAGGCGGAUUAGUAAGUUGGGAGUGAAAGCCCGGGGCUUAACCUCGGAAUAGCUCUCAAAACUACUAGUCUUGAGUGUAGUAGGGGAUGAUGGAAUUCCUAGUGUAGAGGUGAAAUUCUUAGAUAUUAGGAGGAACACCGGUGGCGAAGGCGGUCAUCUGGGCUACAACUGACGCUGAGGCGCGAAAGCGUGGGGAGCAAACAGG
rnacentral:rRNA from 1 species